GUCAAAAUAUCAAAACACAAAGAAGAAAACGAAACACUCGAAACGUGAAAAGUAGGAGUGGAAACGAAAAAGAGGUUUUUAGACUGAAUCUGUGGCAAAGAGCUCAUUAAGAUACAUUGUUGAAGCAUAAUGUUACUCUACCAUCGAUUAUGUCUGUGUCACGUUAUACUCAAGCAGCUGUAACGAUUUUACAACGUCAACUUACAGUCUGUGGACAAAAUACGAGCAACCUACCAGGAGGAGUUGUACCCAGGACACUUCAUGGACAUUAAUAGCCUGGUUCCAGAGGACAGCGACAAGUAGAGGCCGAGGACGAGCAAUUUGGCAGCAACCCACCCAGCAGGAGCAAAAGACGCUCAAUGAUGUUUUGUGCCCUCAACUUUGCCUGGAAGGCAGUGGAUGCCUGGAAGGCACGUCCCGCCCUCCAACCGCCUUCCAAUCAGGUUUGAACAGCAUCUGCAGCUAAAUCUGGAGAGGGAACCUCUGGAGGAUUGCAUGUAGUUAAACUGUCAGGAUAAUGGAGGACUGACACAUUUUGGAGCAACAUCUGAUUAAUUCCCCGAAG